CGCUUCCAAGAAAAGCCUCUAAGCUUCAGGUACCACCCAACCGUACCCCAAACCGACACAGGUGGGCGAGGAGAGAAUCCUCAGGCGCUGGAGAGAACUCGGGUGAAGGAACUCGGCAAACUAGCACCGUAACUUCGGGAGAAGGUGCACCCGCAGUAGGUGGACGCCCUCGCGGCGGGAGCCCAAGCGGGUCGCAGUGACCAGGUGGCUGCGACUGUUUACUAAAAACACAGCACUCUGCCAACACGAAAGUGGACGUAUAGGGUGUGACGCCUGCCCGGUGCCGGAAGGUUAAUUGAUGGGGUCAGCGCAAGCGAAGCUCUUGAUCGAAGCCCCGGUAAACGGCGGCCGUAACCAUAACGGUCCUAAGGUAGCGAAAUUCCUUGUCGGGUAAGUUCCGACCUGCACGAAUGGCGUAACGAUAGCCACACUGUCUCCACCCGAGACUCCGUGAAAUUGAAAUCGCUGUGAAGAUGCAGCGUCCCUGCGGCAAGACGGAAAGACCCCGUGAACCUUUACUACAGCUUUGCACUGAACUUUGCGUCUUCUUGUGUAGGAUAGGUGGGAGGCAGUGAACCCGGGACGCCAGUCUCGGCGGAGCCAACCUUGAAAUACCACCCUGGAAUACGCGAGGUUCUAACCUCGAACCCUGACCGGGUUCAGGGACCGUGCAUGGUGGGUAGUUUGACUGGGGCGGUCUCCUCCCAAAGAGUAACGGAGGAGCGCGAUGGUACCCUCAGCGCGGUCGGAAAUCGCGCACUGAGUGCAAAGGCAAAAGGGUGCUUAACUGCGAGACGGACAAGUCGAGCAGAUGCGAAAGCAGGUCUUAGUGAUCCGGUGGUUCCGAAUGGAAGGGCCAUCGCUCAACGGAUAAAAGGUACUCCGGGGAUAACAGGCUGAUACCGCCCAAGAGUCCAUAUCGACGGCGGUGUUUGGCACCUCGAUGUCGGCUCAUCACAUCCUGGGGCUGUAGUCGGUCCCAAGGGUAUGGCUGUUCGCCAUUUAAAGUUACGCGAGCUGGGUUUAGAACGUCGUGAGACAGUUCGGUCCCUAUCUGCCGUGGGCGUUGGAGAUUUGCGGGGCGCUGUUCCUAGUACGAGAGGACCGGAAUGGGCAGACCUCUGGUGUACCGGUUGUCAUGCCAAUGGCAUCGCCGGGUAGCUACGUCCGGACGGGAUAACCGCUGAAAGCAUCUAAGCGGGAAGCCCCCCCCAAGAUCAGAUCUCCCGAGUCCUUGAGACUCCUGAAGGUCCGUUGUAGACCACGACGUAGAUAGGCGGGCGGUGGACGCACGGCAACGUGUGCAGCCGACCCGUACUAAUGGACCGUGCGGCUUGACCCC
rnacentral:rRNA from 1 species